rnacentral:rRNA from 1 species
CUUUGUAAUUGGAAUGAUGGGAAUGUAAAACCCUUCCAGAGUAACAAUUGGAGGGCAAGUCUGGUGCCAGCAGCCGCGGUAAUUCCAGCUCCAAUAGUGUAUAUUAGAGUUGUUGCAGUUAAAAAGCUCGUAGUUGGAUUUCUGUCGUGGUCAGCCGGUGCCGCCCGUAUGGGUGUGCGCCUGGUUUGCCCGCGGCUUUUUUCCGGUAGCCUUCCGCGCUUAAUUGCGUGUGUUGGUGUUCUGGAACUUUUACUUUGAGAAAAAUAGAGUGUUUCAAGCAGGCUUGUCGCCCUGAAUACUGCAGCAUGGAAUAAUAAGAUAGGACCUCGGUUCUAUUUUGUUGGUUUCUAGGACCAAGGUAAUGAUUAAUAGGGACAGUUGGGGGCAUUCGUAUUUAACUGUCAGAGGUGAAAUUCUUAGAUUUGUUAAAGACGAACUACUGCGAAAGCAUUUGCCAAGGAUGUUUUCAUUAAUCAAGAACGACAGUAGGGGGUU